rnacentral:tRNA from 1 species
GGAGAGUUGUCCGAGUGGUUGAAGGAGCACGACUGGAAAUCGUGUAUGCGCCAAAAGCGCAUCGGGGGUUCGAAUCCCCCACUCUCCGCCA